rnacentral:lncRNA from 11 species
AGAGGAAGAGAGACAAAGGCACCAGGCCUGCAUCUGAUGAAAUGUCCGGUGCUGGAGCCCUCAGUGGUGCAAUGGGUUAAACACUUGUGCCGGCAGGACUGCAGACUGAAAUGUUGGCGGUUUGAAUCCUGACAUGAAAAAAAACUCAAAGGUGCUGC